GACGAACGCUGGCGGCGUGCCUAACACAUGCAAGUCGAACGGAACUGUUUUGAAAGAUUUCUUCGGAAUGAAUUUGAUUUAGUUUAGUGGCGGACGGGUGAGUAACGCGUGAGUAACCUGCCUUCAAGAGGGGGAUAACAUUCUGAAAAGAAUGCUAAUACCGCAUGACAUAUCGGAAUCACAUGGUUCUGAUAUCAAAGAUUUUAUCGCUUGAAGAUGGACUCGCGUCCGAUUAGUUAGUUGGUGAGGUAACGGCUCACCAAGACCGCGAUCGGUAGCCGGACUGAGAGGUUGAACGGCCACAUUGGGACUGAGACACGGCCCAGACUCCUACGGGAGGCAGCAGUGGGGGAUAUUGCGCAAUGGGGGCAACCCUGACGCAGCAACGCCGCGUGAAGGAUGAAGGUUUUCGGAUUGUAAACUUCUUUUAUUAAGGA
rnacentral:rRNA from 1 species